CUCAAAGGUUCCCUCAGAAUGGUCGGAAACCAUUUGAAGAGUGCAAAGGCAGAAGGGAGCUUGACUGCGACACCGACGGGUGGAGCAGGUACGAAAGUAGGACUUAGU
rnacentral:misc_RNA from 1 species